UACAAAAAUUAGUUUAUAUAUAGUAAUAAAAUAUGUUUAAGGUUUAAUCUUGUUGUAAUAUGUUUUUAGUGAAAUAUAAAAUAUUAAUAUUUAUGGUUUUGAAGUUAAUGUUACAUUCUACUAGUAACCUAUCAAUGUGUCUAAAUUAACACCAUUGGUUUUGCUACAAUGCUCUCAACAACCGACUAUUGAUCUAGAAUAAUAAACAACGAAAAUUGGAGAAAAAAGUAAUAAUCACGAAAAUGACUCGUGGAUUUUGUUAAAUUUAAUAAAACAUUAUUCAAUAACAAUUAGAUGUUAUUUAUAUUUUUAUUAACAUAUAGAUGUUAUUUAUAUUUACAUUUACAUAUAGGUGUAUAAAUAUAGAUUUAGAUAACCCUUUAGAAUUACCUGUCUAAAAUUUAUCUAAUAGAGAUCCUAGAGAGGUUGAAGAUCACAUUUUCAGUUUAGCGACUCAUCAUGUCGAUAAAGAUUUCAUUCUUGCACCGCAUUUGGCUGAGUAAGUUUUUUUUAGUUAACUUGCUUUUAUUUUAUUACUAUGAUUCACCUAACUAUUCUAUAACGCUAAUUUUGUAGCGACCAUUGGUCUUUGUUCAUCAUUGCCCAACACAUAGGACAUAGGACAUGUUUAUAUUUUGGAUUCAACAAAGAUAAAAGACGAAAAGAAUGCUUCUAACUAUCGUCUUUCAAACCUAAUUCCUACCGCCUUAGGAUCCGAGUUCAACUACACAAUGGUUGAUUGUAAGCAACAAAAGGGUGGAUGGGAAUGCGGCUACAUGGUUCUCCAACAUAUGUUUGACUUUGUCAAUUUGUAUCGAAACCAAUUUCCCGAUGAAAUGUGGCACGACACGAGAGUGGCUACGGAUAAUGAAAUAGAUGUUUUGUUGAUGACAUUGAUGCCGAAGUUUUUUAGCGAGUUAGGUAUUCCGUUAGUUUAGCUUAUGUGUAGUUUGUUAUGUAUUCACAAAUGAUUGUAAUUUGACGGGUUUAUUUCCGAAUUGGAUGUGGGGUUUAUUUUGGAUUUGAAUGUGUAUUGUUUUGGUUUGAUUUGAAAAUGUUGCAUUGGUGUAUAUAAGGUUGAU